CGUAGGUGGCAAGCGUUGUCCGGAGUUACUGGGUGUAAAGGGCGUGUAGGCGGGUGAUCAAGUCAGAUGUGAAAUUCCAUGGCUCAACUGUGGCGCUGCAUCUGAAACUGGUCAUCUUGAGUGAUGGAGAGGAAAGUGGAAUUCCUAGUGUAGCGGUGAAAUGCGUAGAUAUUAGGAGGAACACCAGUGGCGAAGGCGACUUUCUGGACAUUAACUGACGCUGAGGCGCGAAAGCGUGGGGAGCAAACAGGAUUAGAUACCCUGGUAGUCCACGCUGUAAACGAUGGAUACUAGGUGUAGGAGGUAUCGACCCCUUCUGUGCCGGAGUUAACACAAUAAGUAUCCCACCUGGGGAGUACGGCCGCAAGGUUG
rnacentral:rRNA from 1 species